UGAUCGCUAAGAAUUGUAGCGUAUAGGUGUAGCUUUCUACGAUCAAUGUAUACUCAAAGUCCCUUUGAUUGGGGCCACAGUCCUGAGAAGGUGCAAGACCUGUACGAGUUGCAUUGUGUUGUAGUCGGCGGCUCCUUGGAGUCGGGUUGCCUGAGAACGCAGCCUGAAUUGGGUGGUAAACUCCAUCUAAGGCUAAAUAGUACUGCGAGUCCGAUAGCAAACAAGUACCGUGAGGGAAAGUUGCAAAGAACUUUGAAGAGAGAGUUCAAGAGUGCGUGAAACCACUGGGAUGGAAACGGAUAGAGUUGACGAAUUGGGCGAUAUUCAACUGUUUUGUUUACGCGAAGCGGUGUACUUAUCGUCUGUAUGCGCUGAGAAUCUUGAUUGAAUAUUCUAAACCGUAGUAUUGUUGCCCAUCAUCUUCGGAUUAUGGUGUCUUGUGCUUACGGGUUGGGAUGUUUCGAUUAAGUAAUUUCGGUGUGAAAGUCGACCACCUAUCCGACCCGUCUUGAAACACGGACCAAGGAGUCUAGCGUAUGUGCGAGUCAUUGGGUGGUAAACCUAUUGGCGUAACGAAAGUAAAGGUCGUCUUGUGCGGCUGAUAUGGGAUCCGUGCGGUUUCGAUCGUGCGGCGCACCAUAGCCCUGUCUCGAAGGCUUGCCUUGAGAUGGAGGUAGAGCACAUGCGCUAGGACCCGAAAGAUGGUGAACUAUACGUGAGCAGGAUGAAGCCGGAGGAAACUCUGGUGGAAGUCCGUAACGGUUCUGACGUGCAAAUCGAUCGUCUGACUUGCGUAUAGGGGCG
rnacentral:rRNA from 1 species